rnacentral:tRNA from 1 species
GCGGGGGUACCCGAGCCAGGUCUAAAUAGGCGGCCAGUAAGCCUAAGAUAUGGGGGAGGACUUAAGAUCCUCUGGCGAAGGCCUCCGUGGGUUCGAAUCCCACCCCCCGCA